UAGGGAAUCUUCCGCAAUGGACGCAAGUCUGACGGAGCAACGCCGCGUGAGUGAAGAAGGAUUUCGGUUCGUAAAACUCUGUUGUUAGAGAAGAACAGCGCAUAGAGUAACUGUUAUGCGUGUGACGGUAUCUAACCAGAAAGCCACGGCUAACUACGUGCCAGCAGCCGCGGUAAUACGUAGGUGGCAAGCGUUGUCCGGAUUUAUUGGGCGUAAAGCGAGCGCAGGCGGUCAAUUAAGUCUGAUGUGAAAGCCCCCGGCUCAACCGGGGAGUGUCAUUGGAAACUGGUUGACUUGAGUGCAGAAGAGGAGAGUGGAAUUCCAUGGUUAGCGGUGACAUGCCUAGAUAUACGGAAGAACACCAGUGGCGAAGGCGACUCUCUGGUCUGUAACUGACGCUGAGGCUCGGAAGCGUGGGUAGCAAACAUG
rnacentral:rRNA from 1 species